GACAGAGGCCUCAAGCGUUAGGCGGAAUCACUGGGCUUAAAGCGUGUGUAGGCGGAUCGUUAAGUGUCUUGUGAAAUCCCACGGCUCACCCGUGGAACUGCUGGGCAUACUGGCGAUCUUGGGCCAACUAGGGGCAACUGGAACAAGCGGUGGAGCGGUGAAAUGCGUAGAUAUCGCUUGGAACGCCAAAGGUGAAAACAGGGUUGCUGGGGGUUGUGCCGACGCUGAGACACGAAAGCCAGGGGAGCAAACGGG
rnacentral:rRNA from 1 species